GAUCAACGCUGGCGGCGUGCUUAACACAUGCAAGUCGAACGAAGUUUUUCCUUCGGGAGAAACUUAGUGGCGGACGGGUGAGUAACGCGUGUGUAACCUGCCCUGUACAGGGGGACAACAGCUGUAAACGGCUGCUAAUACCGCAUAAGCCCUUAGCACUGCAUGGUGCAUAGGGAAAAGGAGCAAUCCGGUACAGGAUGGACCCGCGUCUGAUUAGCCAGUUGGCAGGGUAACGGCCUACCAAAGCGACGAUCAGUAGCCGAUCUGAGAGGAUGUACGGCCACAUUGGGACUGAGACACGGCCCAGACUCCUACGGGAGGCAGCAGUGGGGAAUAUUGCACAAUGGAGGAAACUCUGAUGCAGCGACGCCGCGUGAGUGAAGAAGUAUUUCGGUAUGUAAAGCUCUAUCAGCAGGGAAGAAAAUGACGGUACCUGACUAAGAAGCACCGGCUAAAUACGUG
rnacentral:rRNA from 1 species